rnacentral:rRNA from 1 species
GAAACCAACAGGGAUUGCCCUAGUAACGGCGAGUGAAGCGGCAACAGCUCAAAUUUGAAAUCUGGCCCUUGGGUCCGAAUUGUAAUUUGUAGAGGAUGAUUUUGGUGCGGUACCUUCCGAGUUCCUUGGAACAGGACGCCUAAGAGGGUGAGAGCCCCGUACGGUUGGAUGCCUAGCCUCUGUAAAUCUCCUUCGACGAGUCGAGUAGUUUGGGAAUGCUGCUCUAAAUGGGAGGUAAAUUUCUUCUAAAGCUAAAUACUGGCCAGAGACCGAUAGCGCACAAGUAGAGUGAUCGAAAGAUGAAAAGCACUUUGAAAAGAGGGUUAAAUAGCACGUGAAAUUGUUGAAAGGGAAGGAUUUGUGACCAGACUUUUUCUGGGCGGAUCAUCCGGGGUUCUCUCCGGUGCACUUUGCCCAGUAUAGGCCAGCAUCGAUUUUCGGAGGGGGAUAAAAGCUUUGGGAAUGUGGCUCCCUUCUGGGAGUGUUAUAGCCCAUUGUAUAAUACCUUUCUGGGGAUCGAGGUUCGCGCUUCUGCAAGGAUGCUGGCGUAAUGGUUAUCAAUCACCCGUCUUGAAACACGGACCAAGGAGUCGAACAUUUGUGCGAGUGUUUGGGUGUUAAACCCUCACGCGUAAUGAAAGUGAACGGAGGUGAGAGCCCUUACGGGUGCAUCAUCGACCGAUCCUGAAGUUUACGGAUGGAUUUGAGUAGGAGCAUAAAUGUUCGGACCCGAAAGAUGGUGAACUAUGCGUGGAUAGGGUGAAGCCAGAGGAAACUCUGGUGGAGGCUCGCAGCGGUUCUGACGUGCAAAUCGAUCGUCAAAUCUGCGCAUGGGGGCGAAAGACUAAUCGA